rnacentral:rRNA from 1 species
GGGGGGGGGGGGCGGGGGGGGGGGGGGGGGGGAGGCGAGCGGGAGGGGGGUGGGGGGGGGGGGUGCUCGGGGGGCGGGGGGGGGAGUGACAGGGGAGGAGCCUGCCCUUGACGGUGGGGUAACUUCAGGGAGCUGGGGCUAAUACCGGAUAGGAGCUCCUGCUGCAUGGGGGGGGUUGGAGAGUUGCGGCGGUUGGGGAUGGACUCGCGGCUUAUCAGCUGGUUGGUGGGGUAGUGGCUUACCAAGGCUUUGACGGGUAGCCGGCCUGAGAGGGUGACCGGCCACAUUGGGACUGAGAUACGGCCCAGACUCCUACGGGAGGCAGCAGUGGGGAAUAUUGCACAAUGGGCGGAAGCCUGAUGCAGCAACGCCGCGUGCGGGAUGACGGCCUUCGGGUUGUAAACCGCUUUCGCCUGUGACGAAGCGUGAGUGACGGUAAUGGGUAAAGAAGCACCGGCUAACUACGUG